CCUACGGGUGGCAGCAGUGGGGAAUAUUGGGCAAUGGGCGCAAGCCUGACCCAGCAACGCCGCGUGCAGGAAGAAGGCCCUCGGGUUGUAAACUUCUUUUAUUCGGGCGGAAACAAAUGACGGUACCGAAUGAAUAAGCCACGGCUAACUACGUGCCAGCAGCCGCGGUAAUACGUAGGUGGCAAGCGUUAUCCGGAUUUACUGGGUGUAAAGGGCGUGUAGGCGGGAGAGCAAGUCAGACGUGAAAUUCCGGGGCUCAACCCUGGCACUGCGUUUGAAACUGUUCUGCUUGAGUGAUGUAGAGGCAGGCGGAAUUCAGUGUGUAGCGGUGAAAUGCGUAGAGAUACGGCGGAACACCAGUGGCGAAGGCGGCCUGCUGAACAUUAACUGACGUUGAGGCGCGAAAGCGUGGGGAGCAAACAGGAUUAGAUACCCGGGUAGUC
rnacentral:rRNA from 1 species